rnacentral:lncRNA from 1 species
UCCAGAAAUAGCAACCAUUUAAUUGCUGAUAAGAGCAAAAAACAGCAGGAUCCGCAGACUCGAUUCAAAGAGUAUUUUAAUGAUGUUAUUUUUGAAAGAUUGAAGACAGAGCAAAAA